UUGGGUGGCCCUCUAUUGGAGAAACCAUGGCAAUGGGAUGAUUGCAGGGAGGGGGUUGUGGGUACAAAAGGGAAGCAGCUACGUCAGUACGCCUCCUUGCGCUGAGAAACGUAACAAGUGGCUGGAGCCUGUAUUGUUUGUUUUGGUUUUGUAUUACGUGUGUGUUCUGUGUUCACAGAGGAGGAUUGAACACGGCAGUCACCCUUGAGCACUGCCCUGCACAAGGAGGACGCAGGAUGGAUUAAGUCCUUUGGAUUAGGACCUGCUUUAUUAUUUUUGGGUUUGCAAGCUCUCCAUGUACCUCCCAAUACCAUUGCUGUAGAGGGGCAGAUUGUUUCUUUUUGUGGUGUUAGAAUAAACACAGAUUCUUUCUUGGGAAACAUACUGUGUGGACAGUCACUUUAUUGCACCACACCACUUGCACCUGACAAUAUUUGGUGUCCAGAAGUGGGAAAGGAUGGACCCAACUGCAUUGGCAGCCUUUGCUGGAGGCGCUGGAGUGGAGGCACCAGGAAUCGUUGACAGUCACGAUAGAGAGGAUGCACGGUAUGUUCCUGGAGGCCAAUCGGGGGAGGGAACCGGUCGCUGAACCAGCAGUGCAACUGCCAAGGACGAUGGUAGUGAAGAUGUCGCUGGAGGAUGAUCCCGAGGCUUAGUUGGUUGCCUUUGAGAGACAGGCAACAGCAGCACAGUGGCCUCAGGAGCGGUGGGCAACCCAGCUGGGCCCCAACUUGAUCGGGGAGGCCCAGGCAGCCUACCAAGCCCUGACACACAAGCAAGCCCUGGUGUACGACUAGGUGAAGCAGGUCAUUCUCCAGCGAGUCAAUAUCACAGAAGAGACGCACCACCAUCGGCUCCGGGAAUACCAGCCACCCCAGCAGCUGGUGUGCGGCAAAACUGCAUUCACACUAUAACUAAAAGCAGUAAAAAAGACCUGUGAAUCAAUGAAGCACAAAUCGAGCCAAAAAGCAUUACUAUACCAGUCAAAUUAAUAUACUUGGCAGGAAGGAAUGCCGAAAUCAGUAAAGGGACAGCCCAAAAACCUAUGUUGUUUAUAAAAGUUUAGGUAAAGGACAGAUUGACCAGCUUUGAGAAGAAAUGAUUAAUUACACAGCAUUAAAUAGCCUAAAACCAAUCUAGUAUUAAUUAAAAAUGCACAGCAGAGGAUUUAUCUAGUAAUAAUGCUGGUGUAAGGCCGUGGCAACUACUUGUUUUGGAAUUCCCAUGUUUGUUUUUUUGUUUUUGUUUUUUUGUCUGCAGAUAUAGAAUGUUUAAAAAAAAAUGCUGGUCAUGUUUAAAGGCUAGCCUGGCGCAUCUGGAGUGGCAUCCUUGGUGAGGCAUUUAAUCUGCUAGCAGUGAGGCUCUGUGUAAAUAAAUGUCCUAAAAUUUAUUGAUUUUAAAGAUUGAAAAAAAAACAUGGUUUCAAUACCAGGAAAUGGAGGAUAAGUUUAAACUUAACUUCAAGACAGAAAACGCAACCACCAGCCACCAGCCAUCAUCUAUGGAUACAUUCCCCCCAAAUAAACUUCCUGGAACAGAUGGAGGAUGAUAAAACAGACUUCUCACUUGCAUUCCACUAUGCAAGGACUUUGUUGUUUUACAUAGAAACAAACAAACAAUUUAGUUUAAUCUAAAGUUUAUCUGUAAAAAAAAAAAAAAAAGAUAGUCAAUUGUUAGUGUCCUGUUGCAGUAAUAAAAUGUCUAGACAGCAAUUAACAUCAAAUUCCCUCAAGAAUUCAAGCAUGUCAUCAGCACUAAAGCCGGGUUUCAGGGACCAAUCUGAAGAUGUUUCAUCAUCAAUCAGUUUUUAAAAUUGAACAGUGUUUUCUUUUGCAAGGCCUUUUGCUAUGCUGGCCUGACAAGGGUGCUAAAUCUGAUAAAACCGAGAUAGUCCCUUGGUCUGUUUUUGUCCAGCAAGCACCCCCUGCAGAUAAAAGUUUAAAUUCCACAGCUCAGUUCAGUUUCGCCCCUAAUUAAGUUACAGGACCAAUAACACGUUUUCUGAAUGAACAAUAAGUUAGUUGAAAGAUAAAAGAAGAGAUAACCUCAAAUGAAUUAGAUGUGCUCAUUUAAAGCACUUUUUUUUAUCAAGUCAUCCCUUUACAAUUAGUUUUAAAUCUAGUUAUAUAUAUCUAAGUUUUUGUCAGAUUAAUUUUCUAUUUCCUACAUAGGCUUCUAUAAUGUACAUCCCUGUAUUAUCUAUAAAUAUUUUUCUCUUCUUUACCCAUUGCCAUUAAAUAUAUAUUUUACAAGUAGAGACCUGGCCAAAAAAGAUAUUCCACUCCAUCAAUUAUUAAUCACGCCUUUCAUCAAAAAAUUCCUUUAUACAACUGUUAUGAAAGUUAUGAAACUUUAAACCAACAGUGUAAAAUAGCCACCCUUCAUUUCAGGUGAACUGAAAUUGUACUGUAGGCCUGUAAGUGGUUAUCAGGGGAAGUGAAGCAGUUUCACACAGCGACUGACAAUCCAAACACAUGUAGUAGUGUUUCAGGCAUCUAAUUUAGUUAUAAAGAUUGCAUUUUUGAGAACACACUUUGCAUUUAGGAAAACUUAGACUUCCGAUUCCUUGGUAAUAACAUUGUUUAGUUAGUUGCACAGCUGGCAAAUAAAAUCUAAGCCUCUACCAUGUCAGUAUUGUUAUCCUGGCUUCAAAUUACAUGAGCUACCUUGCCUAUGAUUAUAAUGCUGUCAGAGUGAAAUGGGAAAUGUUUUGAUAUUUAGCUUGGUGAGGUAACAAACUGAACAUCUAAUUUUAAGAAUAUGUUUUGUGUUAGAAUUAGUUUACAUGCCUCAUCCUAUGCUGUAGGUUAAUAUCUAUCUAUCUAUCUAUCUAUCUAUCUAUCUAUCUAUCUAUCCAUAUAUCUAUCUA